GAUGAACGCUAGCGGCAGGCUUAACACAUGCAAGUCGAGGGGUAUAGGUUUUCGGACCUAGAGACCGGCGCACGGGUGCGUAACGCGUAUGCAAUCUACCUUUCACAGAGGGAUAGCCCAGAGAAAUUUGGAUUAAUACCUCAUAGUAUUAUAGAAUGGCAUCAUUUUAUAAUUAAAGUCACAACGGUGAAAGAUGAGCAUGCGUCCCAUUAGCUAGUUGGUAUGGUAACGGCAUACCAAGGCUACGAUGGGUAGGGGUCCUGAGAGGGAGAUCCCCCACACUGGUACUGAGACACGGACCAGACUCCUACGGGAGGCAGCAGUGAGGAAUAUUGGUCAAUGGGCGCAAGCCUGAACCAGCCAUGCCGCGUGCAGGAUGACGGUCCUAUGGAUUGUAAACUGCUUUUGUACGGGAAGAAACACUCCUACGUGUAGGAACUUGACGGUACCGUAAGAAUAAGGAUCGGCUAACUCCGUGCCAGCAGCCGCCGUAA
rnacentral:rRNA from 1 species